rfam:Angiostrongylus cantonensis strain Taiwan genome assembly, scaffold: ACAC_contig0004621
ACCUCAUUGGCUUAGGGGCAAAGCGUCUGUCUAAUGAACAGAAAAUCUCUGGUUUGAUUCCAGCAUGAGGCA